rnacentral:lncRNA from 1 species
UGAGGGCAUGACUUGAAGGAGUCCUAAAUGCGACCAGUGAACAGACCCUUGAUGAAGACAUGAGUUGCGAGUUUCAACAGAUGAGCCACAUAAUGGGAACCUGAGUACCUUCCAAGCUCUUUUUUAGUAAGAACAUCUCUUGUAUUUAAUCUAUUCCUCAAGCAAGUCAAAAGAAAAUUUUACCUUUCUUCGGCACAACUGCCUUCUAGAUGGCUUCAUAGUAAAGAUAGAGAUUGCCACCAUUGUUGAUGAAUUUAUAGAAGGAGUUGACAUAGAUAUUACCAUCCUUAGUAAGCUUCCACAUCUGCAUGUCUGCUAAACGAGGUCUAAUGGGUUUGAAUUUUCCAGUUGUCAUAAUUCAAAAAGAGAAGGAGAGGAGACAUAGCAGUUUAAUGUUCCAUUUCGAAGUCGCCAAUUCCACUGAGAAGCUACUGAAAUAUUAGUUUUUAGCACUCUGCCAUAAAGCUCUUAGAAGGGACUGGAGCUUGGAACAGAGCCAACAAAAGUUUUUUCUCAAGGAUCUCUUAGUUUGCAUUCUAAGCUU